GUCUGGUGUCUAGUUUGUUGCCUUCCAGAUUGGUGCAUGAACUUGGCAUUUUGUUGGUUUGCGGUGCAUUUGCAGGUGGAGUGCGCUGAGGCGGUCGGAGCAGUGGCAUGAGCUUGGUUUUGAGGCCAUAUGCUUUGGUGUGUGGUACCCGAGCCGGGGGAGUGCUAUUUGUUCUGGCCGGAUGUGUGGAUGCUGGUCUCGGGCUCGAGUGGGCACCGAGCUGGCGGUUGGUGGCGGCCGCAUGCGACACGUGCCAGCAGUCAGUUCGGUCCUAUUCGGGCUCACAUUGCUGUCCCGCCUCGGUGUAACAGCCGGUCAUCUAUCCGACCCGUCUUGAAACACGGACCAAGGAGUUUAGCGUGUGCGCGAGUCAUUGGGCGUUGAAAACCCAAAGGCGUAAUGAAAGUGAAUGCACCCCUUGUGGGGCUGAUGUGCGAUCCAAGGUGACUACGGUUGCCAGGCGCAGCAUAGUCCCGUCCCAAUCGCAUGCGAUGGGGCGGAGACAGAGCGUACGCGCUGAGACCCGAAAGAUGGUGAACUAUUCCUGAGCAGGAUGAAGCCAGAGGAAACUCUGGUGGAAGUCCGAAGCGAUUCUGACGUGCAAAUCGAUCGUCUGACUUGGGUAUAGGGGCGAAAGACUAAUCGAACCAUCUAG
rnacentral:rRNA from 1 species